rnacentral:rRNA from 1 species
UACGUAGGGGGCGAGCGUUGUCCGGAAUUACUGGGCGUAAAGGGUGCGUAGGUGGUUGUCUAAGUCAGAUGUGAAAUCCCCGGGCUCAACUCGGGUGGUGCAUUUGAAACUGGGUAACUAGAGUGCAGGAGAGGGAAGCGGAAUUCCUAGUGUAGCGGUGAAAUGCGUAGAUAUUAGGAGGAACACCAGUGGCGAAGGCGGCUUUCUGGACUGUAACUGACACUGAGGCACGAAAGCGUGGGGAGCAAACAGG